rnacentral:sRNA from 1 species
ACAUGUAAGGGUGUUCUGGCUAUAACAUCUAUCAACAUCUAUCACCAGUUAGCUGUGCUGACUGUCUAGGUGUCUGUCUCCUUUCUCCAUCACCAGUACCUGUGUAUCCCUCCUUAAGCAAUUUGCUUGAUCUAAAAGAAGACAACACUAGGGCUGGAGAGAUAGUACAGUGAAUAGGGUACUAGUGUUGCAAGAACUAACCCGUGUUUAAUCCUCAGAAUUCCAAAAGUUCUCCAAAGCUUGCCAGGAAUGAUCCCUUCGUA